rnacentral:rRNA from 1 species
AUGCUUAACACAUGCAAGUCGAACGGUAACAGAGAGUAGCUUGCUACUUUGCUGACGAGCGGCGGACGGGUGAGUAACGCGUGGGUAAUCUGCCCUUGGGUCUGGAACAACGCUGGGAAACUAGUGCUAAUUCCGGAUAAGACUACGACGACCUAGGUCGAUGUAGAAAAAGGUGGCCUCUCCUUGGAAGCUAUCGCCCGGGGAUGAGCCCGCGUUCCAUUAGCUUGUUGGUGGGGUAAAAGCCUACCAAGGCACCGAUGGAUGGCUGGUCUGAGAGGAUGAUCAGCCACACUGGGACUGAGACACGGCCCAGACUCCUACGGGAGGCAGCAGUCGGGAAUUUUGUCCAAUGGGGGAAACCCUGAGACAGCAACGCCGCGUGAGGGAUGAAGGCCUUCGGGUCGUAAACCUCUGUCGGGAGGGAAGAAUACUUCAUUGCGAAUAGUUUUGAAGUUUGACGGUACCUCCAAAGGAAGCUCCGGCUAACUCCGUGCCAGCAGCCGCGGUAAUACGGAGGGGGCAAGCGUUGUUCGGAAUCAUUGGGCGUAAAGCGGAUGCAGGCGGUGAAGUAAGUCGGAUGUGAAAUCCCAGGGCCCAACCCUGGAACUGCAUUCGAAACUGCUCCACUAGAGUCCCGGAGAGGAAGGCGGAAUUCCCGGUGUAGAGGUGAUAUUCGUAGAUAUCGGAAGGAACACCAGUGG